CUGAGGCAAGCCAGGCAUCUCGUCAUGAGAUUACUGGAGCAGUCUUGUGGAGACGCCUAAGUAGAGGGGAACCAAUGUCACCUUGUCAACCAUAAACCAUGAGACCUGCUGCAAAGGCCUAUUUGUGUCGCAGAGCAAGAUUCUCAAAAGCCUUUGUGAGGGCCGGGCCCGGCCUUCCUCAGAGAACUGCAGAACACGAACACGAGGGACAGAACCUGCAGGGGGAGCCAGGGCCGUGCCAGUGAGAACAAGGCGAAAGCAGAGGUCUACAUACAUGCAUAAGCUUGAGGAUGGAUAUCAGUCUUCCAUGCACCUAUUUACUGACCAUCUAAAAAACAUUACGUGGCUUGAGUCACCUGGAUUAUUGCCUCGGACUUCGAAAUGUCCUGUCGGCAGACUCUCUCAUCCUCUCUCGUGGACCAGGAGAGAGAGAGCGUGAGCAGGGGAGGGGCAGAGAGAGAAGGAGACACAGAAUCUGAAGCAGGCUCCAGGGCCCGAACUGUCAGCACAGAGUCCGAUGCGGGGCUUGAACUCACGAGCUGGGAGAUCAUGACCUGAGCCGAAGUUGGACGGUUAAUCAACUGAGCCACCCAGGUGCCUCUACAGUGUCUUAUAAAUACAUUUUUAAACACAUGGUAGUGUAUUACAUGCUUCAGUCUUCACUUUGAUUUUUCUGUCUUCAUAUUUUUCACUUGUUUGGGGGAAUUUUCCAUAAUUAGAUGUAAAAAUCUUCCUCAUUCUCUUGAACAGGACUUUAGUGAACGGAUACAUUAUAUGUUAACCAGUAUUAUACUGAUGGGCUUUCCUGUGGUUUCUAGUCUUUUGCUAUUAUAAACAGUGUUACAAAAAUCAAUCUUGGACACAUCAUUUCAUAUGUGUGUGAGUCUUUGUGUAGGAUAGAUACCUAGAGGCAGUUUUGAUUUUAAUAAAUAUUGCCAAGUUGUCUACAGACACUCUUACAACAGACACUCUUACAGCCUCAACGACAUAUUAAACAUUGAGUUUUUUUUUUUCAAUUUGAUAGGUGAAAAACAGUACCU